ACCAAGGAGUGUUGGGAGGCCCUUCCCGCUCUGACCUGCCCUGUUUCCUGAAAGGGCUAUCAGGCCCCGGACACUGUGUCCCAAGCACAGUGGGGACAGGGGCAAGGCUUUCGAAGUCUCCCCCGGGAUGGGGGCUGGCGUGAUUUGCAUGAAGCACUCUCAGGCCUCCCUGGGUGGGGGUCACUCCUGUCCCUUCUGCUGAGGAUGUGGGUGGGUGGGGGAAGGGGAGGGCUUACUGUCUACCCACCAGGCGCUUCUGGUUUCAGAAGGAAAGUAACUGCUGAAGACGCCCCCAGGGACCCAGCCGGAGGCCCCAGUCCAGCAGGGGCAGAGAGCCCGGGUGGAAAGGGCCAGGAAAGACGGGUGGGCAGGUCGGCUACUGCAACCAUGUAAGAGCUGACAGCUGCACGACGUGCUUCGGGAGGCAGCAGACCCAGGGGCGAAGCCCAAGGCCUCCGGAGCCAGCCUGGUGGAGUUCAAAUUCCAGCUGUAGCACUGAACUAACCAGGUGACUCCGGCUGAUUCUUUACUCCAGCGCCCCUCCUUCCCUGCAUCCAGAGUGAGCCUUUCAAACAAACUGGAUGGUUUCCCUCGUCUCUUCUCAACCUCCUGACAGCUAUUCACCACUUGUAGAGUGAAAUCCAAGUGCCUCACCGAGGCUCACGGCAGAGGCCACCAGUGCUCACCAAAACCUACAUUCUCCUCUGGGUCCUGGACUCACCCCUGCAACGUGCCUCAGCCUCCUUGCACGGGUGGAGGUGGGGCGGGGAGGGCAGGGGCGUGGCCUCUCCCCUCGCAUUUCUCAUUGGCCAGCUAGACGUGGGGGAUCCACCGAGGAUUCUGAGGAGAUGAAAGGGCCCCAAGUUGGAAGGUGCCUGGGUCCUUGGGUGUGUGGAACAAGACCCCUGU
rnacentral:lncRNA from 1 species